rnacentral:lncRNA from 1 species
GGGAAGCGCAGGCUCCGGGCGGGGACCGAACCAUGAGAGCGAGGGAUGGAGAUGGGGGUCGGGGGCUGGGAAAGGAGGAUGAGAGGCAGGAGGUGGGAGAAGAGGAAAGGGAAACAGAGCUCAUGGAGAAAAGCCCAGGAGUGGGGUGCCCUUGGCCCUGGAAGAAAGGCGACACAGGCUGGGCCCGCUGAUGUGUUUGGGGAGCUGGCUCCAUGGAAGCCCCUUGAGGAGACCCAGCCCUGGCCUUCAGGAGCUCCAAGCCCCGCGAGGACUCCAAGUGCAGGCCUGAACAGCGGCUCAAGUGCAACUGACUGCAGUCGGCUUCUCGGAGGAGGUGGCCUCAGGCAGGGCCGGAAAGGUCACGCACCGCUCAGAGAACAGUGUGAGAGAAAAGCAGAGCCACCUGAAGGGGCCACCUGAGCUGCCUCCACUUGCUCACAGAGGAGGGGAACUGCUGUCCCCUCAGGAAACAUUAGGCCAGGAGGAAUGAUGGGUGCACAGGUGCCAGGGGCUGGAUCUCAAAGGUGAAGACCAGACCCAGGAGAGGGAGUAUCCGGAUGGUGAUUGUGGGCAGUUAGAGCUUUAAGUGGCCUUGUGGAGAUCCUGGGGUCCACUGCGGCUCACAUGUGAUAGGAUUCCUGUGGCCAGGGAACAACAGGAAGCGGGAAACUUGCUGGAUGUGAAAGGUUAGGUUCACAGGUGCAAAGGCUGCUGACCCUCAUCCAUGGACAGGUAAAGGAUGACCAUCAGGACGGAUGGAAGCCUUCGCAUGACCAGAAGACUGGAGUGCCCACAAUACCUUGUUUAUAUGUAAACCUCCUAAGACCUAAACCCAACCUGAGGUAUAUCUGCUUGAAUGCAGGAUGAGCUGCCGGGACACAGAAAAUCAAACAUACAAUGACUUAAGCAACUAACUGGGCGUCCGUGUGCCGUGGAGGCUCUGCUUUACGAGACCCAUGUAGGACACACACUCCUGUACCAUUUCUGCCCACACCGUGGGGCACUGCCCUUAUUCGUGUGGUCACACUGGCGUCCCAACUUCUUCGGCUUGUGCAGCCCACAAAAAGUAGGUGGGAAAGGAGGGGCUAUUGAUUUCUUUUAAAGAAAGUGUGAAGAUUUUAUUUUGUUUUCUUUUUUAGGAUCGAGGAUGGAAUCCAGGGGCUCUCUGCCAUUGAGCUACAUACCCAGCUCUUUCUAUUUGUUUUAAGACAGGGUCUCACUAAGUUGCCCAGGCUGGCCUUGAACACGUAAUCCUCCUGCCUCAGUCUCCCUAGUAGCUGGAAUUACAAGCCAUUAUGUCACUUGAAUAACAUUGGCAAGCACCAAUCAUGUAGCCACGAGGCAGCUGUUUCAUUCUUAAUGUCAGUGCUUGUGACUUCCUUGGUAUUUGUGUCUUUGUCAGUGUUUGUGUUUUUCAUUCUUGCUAGCGCUUUGUCAAUUUUGUUGAUCUUCUCAAAGAACCAGCUUUUGUUUCACUGGUUUUUCCAUUUCUGUUUUUCUGUUUUUUAUUUUAUUGAUUUCUGCUCUUACCUUUAUCAUCAUCAUCAUCAUCAUCAUCAUCAUCAUUUCCUUUUCCUGCUGACUUUGAGUUUAUUUUGCUUUUCUUUUCCUAAGUUGAGGUGGGAGCUUACAUUUUUGAUUUGAGACUUCUCUUUCAACAUAAACUUUGAAUGCCGUAAAUUUCCCUUCCAGUAUUAUUUUAACUGUGCCUCACAAAUUUUAACGUAUUUGUUGCAUUUUGGUUUUUAUUUAGUUCCACAUAUUUUUCAAACUUUCUUUACUACCUCCCCUUUUACCCAUGGAUCACAUAGUAUAAUAUUGUUUAGUCUCCAUGUUUUUGGAGAUUUGCAGCUCUUUUUCAUUUUAAUUUCUAGUUUAACUCCACUGAGGCCAGAGAAUGAACAUAUUCUGUAUGAAUUCAAUUCUUUUAAAUUCAUUGAGAUUUUCUUAUGGAUCUGGUCUAUCC